UACGGAGGGUGCAAGCGUUACUCGGAAUCACUGGGCGUAAAGGGUGCGUAGGCGGGUUAUCAAGUCUCGAGUGAAAUCCAACGGCUUAACCGUUGAACUGCUUGGGAAACUGGUAGCCUAGAGUGAGGGAGAGGCAGAUGGAAUUGGUGGUGUAGGGGUAAAAUCCGUAGAGAUCACCAGGAAUACCCAUUGCGAAGGCAGCUCACUAGGUUACAACUGACGCUGAUGCACGAAAGCGUGGGGAU
rnacentral:rRNA from 1 species